rnacentral:rRNA from 1 species
GUUGAACGCUGGCGGCGUGCCUAAUACAUGCAAGUCGAGCGAACGGACGAGAAGCUUGCCUCUCUGAUGUUAGCGGCGGACGGGUGAGUAACACGUGGAUAACCUACCUAUAAGACUGGGAUAACUUCGGGAAACCGGAGCUAAUACCGGAUAAUAUUUUGAACCGCAUGGUUCAAAAGUGAAAGACGGUCUUGCUGUCACUUAUAGAUGGAUCCGCGCUGCAUUAGCUAGUUGGUAAGGUAACGGCUUACCAAGGCAACGAUGCAUAGCCGACCUGAGAGGGUGAUCGGCCACACUGGAACUGAGACACGGUCCAGACUCCUACGGGAGGCAGCAGUAGGGAAUCUUCCGCAAUGGGCGAAAGCCUGACGGAGCAACGCCGCGUGAGUGAUGAAGGUCUUCGGAUCGUAAAACUCUGUUAUUAGGGAAGAACAUAUGUGUAAGUAACUGUGCACAUCUUGACGGUACCUAAUCAGAAAGCCACGGCUAACUACGUG